ensembl:lncRNA
GUGAGUUAUAAUUCCACUGUAUAUUACUUGGUCACAGUUUAAUGACCCAGCUGCAUCUGUUAAGUGUCUGCAUCCCUUCAGGAGAGGAAGUCUUCCUGUGGAUUCCUUAUCUUGCCUCAUCUGAAACCUGCUGGGUGGGAUUAGCUGGUGUCCAGGGUCCCUCCAGUUUUAAUUUCUGACCUAAGACUUCAUCUUGGAGAGAGGAACAAACUCACAAACAGGACUUUAUCUUCACUUCUUUACACUGCAUCGAUUCAGUUCUAAUUCCCAAACUGUGUGCCUGUCUUGAGAUUUCAGGUGCCCCAGAGAUAGGCCUUGGAGAGGGGACACAGCUAAAUAGGUCAAGGGAAUACGGAAGGAAUCGGAUGACCAAGGGCCUACAUCAAACUUCCCUGGUGGCACAGUGGGUAAGAAGCCACAUGCUGAAGCAGGGGACAUGAGAUUGAUCCCUGGUCCUGGCGGAUCCCCCAGGCCAUGCAGCAGCGAAGUCCAUGUGCAGAAAUCCUGAAGCCUUCGCCCUCGCGGCUGCGCUCCGCAGCAGGAGAUGCCACCCCAGUGAAAAGCCCACAUGCAGCAUCUGGACAAACACCAGUGUGCAGCAACCAAGACCCGGCACAGCCAAGAAUAAAUAAGCAACAAAAUGGUCCACAUCAAAAGAAACAACAACAACUAAGUCUCUGUCACAGUUCCAGAGUGGAUAUUGAAUUCAGGAAAUGGAGACGUGUGUAAAAAUAUCCGGGGUGAAAGCAAAGGUCUCAGAGACUGAGACAUGGGAGUGUUGAGUAGAUAGAUAUGGAGGGGAAUAUAGGGGAGACCCUUCCACUGGGGCUUUGUGUUUUCAGCACUGUGGCUGAAUGCCACACGUCCUUUUUAUUAAAGGCACAGGACAGGUACAUGCCGAGUGUGAGAGAAAGUCUAAGAUCACUUCCCCAGAGCAGAGUGACAGAUUCCCAUUAAGCAUUCAGUCUCCUCUCAGGCCUCAAAAUCGAAUUCUCUGGAGGAGUUAGGAAAAGGAUUGUCUGAAGGAUGGAUGGGAUGGAAAGUCAUUCUCUUCCUAUCUUUGUAGUUCUCGGAACAAUGGCUCUCUUCAAAUAUUGACCGUCUGUGUUUUCUGAGACUACUGUUUACUUACGAUAAACACAUUUAUUGCGACCACUUUUUCUAACUCCUGUUGUUUAAACUAGCCUCUCAGUUCAUUUUCUCAGCUGGGUGUCCUUAGCUGGUUCUGUAAUAAACUUCCUGACUCACAGUAAUAACAUGCCUCCUGCCAGAGAGAGUAUAUUUUAUGGAUGUGUUGGGAAAUUUUAAAGUUAGAAAAAUCAGUGAUUGUUGAAAUGACAUGUUGAUAAAAACUAGGGCAUGACUUGGGUUUGCUUUUAAAAGCCUCUAAAAAAUAACAGGCUGCAAAUUAAAAUGUAUAAAGUAUCGAUCUGUCUUUUCAAAUUGAAAAUGAAGGAAGCCUGAUGAUUUUGGAAAUAAUUCUGGAAGUGUGUGUACAUUUUAAAG